CAGUCGCCGCGGGAAUACGUAGGGUGCGAGCGUUAAUCGGAAUUACUGGGCGUAAAGCGUGCGCAGGCGGUUCGUUAAGACAGAUGUGAAAUCCCCGGGCUUAACCUGGGAACUGCAUUUGUGACUGGCGGGCUAGAGUAUGGCAGAGGGGGGUAGAAUUCCACGUGUAGCAGUGAAAUGCGUAGAGAUGUGGAGGAAUACCGAUGGCGAAGGCAGCCCCCUGGGCCAAUACUGACGCUCAUGCACGAAAGCGUGGGGAGCAAACAGGAUUAGAUACCCGCGUAGUCCCUGUCUCUUAUAA
rnacentral:rRNA from 1 species